GAUGAAGAACGCAGCGAAAUGCGAUAAGUAAUGUGAAUUGCAGAAUUCAGCGAAUCAUCGAAUCUUUGAACGCACAUUGCGCCCCCUGGUAUUCCGGGGGGCAUGCCUGUUCGAGCGUCAUUUCACCACUCAAGCCUCGCUUGGUAUUGGGCAACGCGGUCCGCCGCGUGCCUCAAAUCGACCGGCUGGGUCUUCUGUCCCCUAAGCGUUGUGGAAACUAUUCGCUAAAGGGUGUUCGGGAGGCUACGCCGUAAAACAACCCCAUUUCUAAGGUUGACCUCGGAUCAGGUAGGGAUACCCGCUGAACUUAAGCAUAUCAAUAAGCGGAGGA
rnacentral:misc_RNA from 1 species